GUUGCACGACUACGGGGGGGGAUGAGAACCCCCGACCGGGGUUCGACAACUGGCGCAGCCAGUUGGACAGACUGUGAGCGAAGCGAACAGGCUGCCCGCAGGGCGAGCGAAGCGAGUCAAUCCCCCCCUCACCGCCA
rnacentral:sRNA from 1 species